rnacentral:rRNA from 1 species
GAUGAACGCUGGCGGCGUGCCUAAUACAUGCAAGUCGAGCGAACAGACGCGGCGCUUGCUCCUCUGACGUUAGCCGCGCGCGGGUGAGUCACACGUGUAUCCCCUCCCUAUCAUUCUGGGAUAACCUCGGGACACCGGAGCUAAUCCCGGAUAAUCUCUUGCACCGCAUUGUUCAUUAGUGAAAGUCGGUUUUUCUGUAUCUUCUAGCUGCAUCUCCGCCGGAUUAGGUAGUUGUUACGGUAACGGCUUACCACGGCAACUAUGCGUAGCCGAGCGGAGAGGGGGAUAGGCCACACGGGAACGGAGACACGGUCCAGACUCCUACGGGAGGCAGCAGUAGGGAAUGUUCCGCAGAGGGCGAAAGCUUGACGGAGCAACGCCGCGUGAGUGACAAAGGUCUUCGGAUCGUAAAACUCGGUUAUUAGGGAAGAACAAAUGUGGAAGUAACUAUGCACGUCUUGACGGUACCUAAUCAGAAAGCCACGGCUAACUACGUG